CUGGCGUUGGUAGUGUUUUUUUUCUCUUUAGCUGAAGUAAGAAGCGCGGAAGUAAUAUAAAUCUAUUGCAUUGUCACUUUAUUCAACGAGUCGUCAAGCAGGUGCAUGCCCAUCAGCCCAUCGACGUGUCGUUUCACCUGGUCUGCAGUAAGCAACGUGUCUGUUAGAGGCGUGCGUGCGAUGUCGCACUGAUCGAUGUCCUUGGUUUGCGCUUGU
rnacentral:lncRNA from 1 species